AGCGAACGCUGGCGGCAGGCCUAACACAUGCAAGUCGAACGAAGUCUUCGGACUUGGUGGCGGACGGGUGAGUAACACGUGGGAACGUACCUUCUGGUUCGGAACAACUCAGGGAAACUUGAGCUAAUACCGGAUGAGCCCUUAGGGGGAAAGAUUUAUCGCCGAAAGAGCGGCCCGCGUUAGAUUAGCUAGUUGGUGAGGUAAAGGCUCACCAAGGCUACGAUCUAUAGCUGGUCUGAGAGGAUGAUCAGCCACACUGGGACUGAGACACGGCCCAGACUCCUACGGGAGGCAGCAGUGGGGAAUCUUGCGCAAUGGGCGAAAGCCUGACGCAGCCAUGCCGCGUGAAUGAUGAAGGUCUUAGGAUUGUAAAAUUCUUUUACCAGGGACGAUAAUGACGGUACCUGGAGAAAAAGCCCCGGCUAACUUCGUGCCAGCAGCCGCAGUAACAC
rnacentral:rRNA from 1 species